GCCUGCGGUACUAUCUGCAGUCGAGCGGACAGAUGGGAGCUUGCUCCCUGAUGUUAGCGGCGGACGGGUGAGUAACACGUGGGUAACCUGCCUGUAAGACUGGGAUAACUCCGGGAAACCGGGGCUAAUACCGGAUGCUUGUUUGAACCGCAUGGUUCAGACAUAAAAGGUGGCUUCGGCUACCACUUACAGAUGGACCCGCGGCGCAUUAGCUAGUUGGUGAGGUAACGGCUCACCAAGGCAACGAUGCGUAGCCGACCUGAGAGGGUGAUCGGCCACACUGGGACUGAGACACGGCCCAGACUCCUACGGGAGGCAGCAGUAGGGAAUCUUCCGCAAUGGACGAAAGUCUGACGGAGCAACGCCGCGUGAGUGAUGAAGGUUUUCGGAUC
rnacentral:rRNA from 1 species